rnacentral:lncRNA from 1 species
GGUGUACAAUGUAUUUGGUUUGGGUUAUUCAAGAAAAAACACUUUGCAUUCACAAACUGCACAAUAUGUUUUACAUUGUCGACAUUUUAUCAUUUGAUUUUAAGUUAGUUUUCAAGUCAAACCUGACCAUCAUUUAAAAAUUCAAAUAUGCUUCCUAUUGAUGGAAGAUCAGCAUCAGACUUUUUAGUUUGGAUUCUAGCACAUGAAG